UACAGAGGGUGCGAGCGUUGUUCGGAAUUAUUGGGCGUAAAGCGCUUGUAGGCGGCUUGUUAAGUUCCGUGUGAAAUCCCCAGGCUUAACCUGGGAAGUGCGCGGAAAACUGGCGAGCUUGAGUGCCGGAGAGGGUCGCGGAAUUCCCGGUGUAGAGGUGAAAUUCGUAGAUAUUCGCAAGAACACCAGUGGCGAAGGCGGCUCACUGGCCCGGUACUGACGCUGAGGUGCGAAAGCUAGGGGAGCAAACGGG
rnacentral:rRNA from 1 species